UUGGUUGGAUACUGGUGCUAAAGCGGUACUUUUAAAACGGUACAUUUAACGGUAUGGUGCCUUAACAGUGCCUGAACAGAUACUUUUUAAGAAAGUUAAAAAAAAAAGGGUACUAAACAACAGUUGGCGACAUUAAAGAAUGG